UAUCAUGAAUGUAUACAGAAAUGUACGUAGUUUUUAUUAAUGGCCAAUACGGUCCUAUAUUGUGAUAUCAUAGUUAUUUGUUCCGUAUUGCGUAUGUUUGUUUUGGAUAUCGUGUACGGAAACCGUUGGUGUUUUGAAACAAAAUACCAUUUGCCCGAUGCAAUAGCAGCAAAACAAACAGAAUAACAUUUACUCACGCUUCUCGUCAAGAUCAACAGUUAUGAAAGCACUUGGUACAACGGACUUACUUAUGUUAGUUAGAUCAGAGACCACAUCACUAGGACGUGAAUUCCGCCUUAAUCGUGGGAUAUGAGAACAUGUCAAAGUUUAACUGUGUUACUGCGAUUCCACCCUUCAGUCACAACAAUUAGUGAAUUCAUUAUAUCUCCACAUAAAAAAAACCUGUACUAACAUAAAGAACGAAGAAGCCUUCGCUUUGAUGUACCAUUUCCAUUGGACACGCGUGCGAGAAUACGUAUUCGAAAUCUAUUGUUUGACAAAUCGAGAAUUUCAAUGGAAAUUGAAAUCGAUUUUUUUUUCUACGAAUACCUUAUGACAUAUAAGUGAGCAAAACAAUGUUUAAAGUUUAUGAGUGUAUUUCUUAACUAGAAAUUUAAAAAAACGCUUUUGAUCAAUCUUA